GACGAACGCUGGCGGCGUGCUUAACACAUGCAAGUCGAACGGAAAGGCCCUGCUUUUGUGGGGUGCUCGAGUGGCGAACGGGUGAGUAACACGUGAGUAACCUGCCCUUGACUUUGGGAUAACUUCAGGAAACUGGGGCUAAUACCGGAUAGGAGCUCCUGCUGCAUGGUGGGGGUUGGAAAGUUUCGGCGGUUGGGGAUGGACUCGCGGCUUAUCAGCUUGUUGGUGGGGUAGUGGCUUACCAAGGCCUUGACGGGUAGCCGGCCUGAGGGGGUGACCGGCCACAUUGGGACUGAGAUACGGCCCAGACUCCUACGGGAGGCAGCAGUGGGGAAUAUUGCACAAUGGGCGGAAGCCUGAUGCAGCAACGCCGCGUGCGGGAUGACGGCCUUCGGGUUGUAAACCGCUUUCGCCUGUGACGAAGCGUGAGUGACGGUAAUGGGUAAAGAAGCACCGGCUAACUACGUG
rnacentral:rRNA from 1 species